rnacentral:lncRNA from 1 species
AUCGUUCAAUACACUCGACAAAAAUGGAGUAUAUAAAUUGAAAUGCACAACUUGCAACGCAACAUACAUAGGUGAAACAGGUAGAGCACUAAAAACACGGAUAAAAGAACAUAAAACUAGAGACAAUUCUAACUUUGGUAAACACCUAAUAUUUAAUCAUGACCACGAAUUCAAUGAAAACAAAGAUGCACACAUACUCCACAAUAUUAAUAAAGGACAUUUAAUGGAAUUACUGGAGGGAUACGAAAUUAAAAAAUUUAUAGCUAACAAUCCCAAUACCCUAUGCCUUAAUGAACAGGUACAAACUUUCCAUAGACCAAUUUAUUCAUUCCUAAAGCAACCAUUCACACCUACUAAACACCAAAAUAAACGAGAGCAUCGAGAUAAAGUAGCGACUUGAUUCUGCAAUAUUUUGGUUCCUUGGCUACUAUUCCCAUCCUAUCCAAAAAAUCCCAAACUUCCCAUCACAAACCCAACCCCAAUCCAUAGAAAGUUUUUAAAAGAACACUAAAAAUUCCUUUUAAAAAAUUUUUUGAAUUUAAAUCAUUUAAAUAUCUAAAUUCACUGUUGCCAAUUGCUUUUGAUUUUAAUUUUAAUAUGGGUUUGACUUUAUUAUAUAUAGCAUAACGAUAUACGUCAUCCAAAAAACUGGUUCCGUAAUACAUGCCGAUGAAUUGCAAAAUCUCCAUUUCAAUUUUAGAAGUUUAAAAGUUUGUUUCUGUUUUAAUUGUUUAAUCAUAAGAUUUGUAAUCUGAGGGAUAUGAUUAUCUUUUAUUCAAAGAUCGACGAGUUUUCCUGAGGAUGAGGACUGGAUCCUCGAAACAUGUAGAAUUUAAAUAAAUAUAACAUUGAAAAGUAUA